ensembl:lncRNA
AGGGGAGGCAGGAGCAGAACCAAGCCGAGGAGUAUGGCAAAGAGGGCUCGAAUUCCCCCAUGCACCGCACAGAAUGGUACAGCCGAGCCCCCAAACCUUGCAGUCUCACUCGCCGGUGAGCUAAUCUGGUGGUUGUGGAGAGGGGUUUUGUUGGUGGGUGUUCCUUGAACGCAUGGAGCAGCCUUCUUGAUGGAGCUUUUAAUUUGGGGCGAGAUUUCUGGAAACCCUCCUCUAUCGUCUCAAUCACUCCAAAGCUCGAGGGUCUCUGAAACUUUGAGAAAAAGCACAAAGUCAACAGUUCCUUUCUGCAGGUUCCUUCCCUGACUUCCCUCAGUAAUGGAAUAUGACCCGGGUGUCAGAAGAUGAAGUAAACCCUUUCCUCCCCAAGUUGCUUUUUUAUCAUGGUGUUUAUCACAGCAAGAGAGAGCAACCUGAAAGACUAGGUGCUGCAGCCUGAUUGGGGUUCUGUCCUUCCUUGGCAAGAUGACACAUCUUCACCUUGAAAUAAUGAGGGGCCACUUCGAGGGCAAAUGGAACAGGAAGGUUGGAGUGUCUGCUGGGGACUCACUGUACUCUCUAGCCAAGCAUGCUGUGGUCAGAUCUGCCCAGCCCUGGAAUAGAAACCUUUGCCGGAUGGAAAAUCCACAAAAGAAAGCUCUUGUGAAAAGCUGAUUCUGACAUUGACUUAAGUGCGCCCAGGCAGUACAGAAGCCAGGCUUCACACACAGAAUCGAUGGACACUGCCUGAGGGCUUGAAGAAGAGAGGGAAUUUAUUGACGAUCCCGGGUAGGCUCUGGAUUGGAAGACUAUAGAACCAGUUUAUCACCAAAUCCAUCCAUUACGGUUAGUUCUUUGUAGGGUUGACACUACUAGGUGUUUAUAGUGCCAACCCCACAUGGACCAGAC